GUGCAGGGCAGCUGGACCGCCACAGUUGUCAUGCCAGUGAUUAUAUGAUGGGGUGGGGCGAUCCAAGCUGUUUUAACUGACCAUAGUCAAAUCUUUGGGAAAAACGGUGGGGAUAAAACCAGAGAAUCUUUGUGUUCAUCACAGCUAACUGGGAUUCAGAAAGGUGUGGACAUUAAAAAUAGGCUAAUUGCCCCCUCCCUGAUGUCAGCCACAUUAAGGUGUUUCCGAAGAUACAUUUUUCAAAGAGGACGAAGCAGUCCCUGAAGAGUGGCAGGAGUGGGAGAAGGAUGCCACCACCAACAGUGGGGCUGCAGUCAUCUGGCGGGACUGGAGGAUUAAAACAGAUCAAAAAGGGAGCAAGACCAACUGUGACAGCCCUCCACUUGAAUUAUAUCUGGUAACAUCCCUCUGACCAAGG
rnacentral:lncRNA from 1 species